rnacentral:rRNA from 1 species
CCUACGGGAGGCAGCAGUGGGGAAUAUUGGGCAAUGGGCGCAAGCCUGACCCAGCAACGCCGCGUGAAGGACGAAGGCUUUCGGGUUGUAAACUUCUUUUCUCAGGGACGAAGAAAGUGACGGUACCUGAGGAAUAAGCCACGGCUAACUACGUGACAGCAGCCGCGGUAAUACGUAGGUGGAAAGCGUGUGCCGGAUUUAUUGGGUGGAAAGGGCGUGUAGGCGGGAGCGCAAGUCAGAUGUGAAAACGCAGGGCUCAACCCUAAGCCUGCAUUUGAUACUGUGUUUCUUGAGUGCUGGAGAGGCAAGCGGAAUUCCGGGUGUAGCGGUGAAAUGCGUAGAUAUACGGAGGAACACCAGUGGCGAAGGCGGGUUGCUGGACAGUAACUGACGCUGAGGCGCGAAAGCGUGGGGAGCAAACAGGAUUAGAUACCCCUGUAGUC